rnacentral:tRNA from 1 species
UUUUUUUUUUUUUUUUUUUUUUUUUUGUCUUUUUGUCUUUUUGCAAUUUCUUGGGCCGCUCCCGCAGCAUAUGGAGAUUCCCAGGCUAGGGGUCGAAUCAGAGCCGUAGCCACCGGCCUACUCCAGAGCCACAGAAACACAGGAUCCGAGCCGUAUCUGCAACCUACACCACAGCUCAUAGCAAUGCUGGAUCCUUCGUUAACCACUGAGCCACGACAAGAACUCCUGUCUCUGCAUUCAUCAGUGUACAGGGGCAGCUGAGAUUUUGGCCACAGGAGCAGCCCCAACUUUGCAGCAGGAAAGACCCAGUGAGGGUCUGGCUCUGGGUGGACAGUUUACACAGAGGGUGACCAACCAUCCUAGCCUGCCUGGGAUGGAGGGGGCUCCUGGGAUGCCAGACUUCCAUGCUACAACUGGGUCAGCCCUGGGCAAACUGGAAAGAAUUGGUCAUCCUAGAGUGGGGACCAGUCCCUCCCAGGCCACAAGGUCAGGGGGGUUGGUCAUUUGUUCAAUUCUGAAUGGGGUGCUGUUGGCCCCACCUGCGGCACUGGGGUAGGGGGACUGACUAGGGGUGGGGGUGGGGGUCCAGGGCAAGCAAAUGCAGAGCCCCAUGCUCUUAGAAGUCUCCUUUCCUCCCUGGCCCCCAUGGAGCCACAAGCUCUUUCUCAGAAGAGUUGGGCUCAGCCCGGGGAAACGAUAAUUCUGCCCCAGACGCAGACCGAGUUCCUCAUGCCCUACCCCCACCACCUACAAACUUGGAAAACCAUCAAGGAGCAGCGGCCUGGAGGAGACAACUCACAAGACUAGGGGCAGUCACUUCUCUGGAGCCUCAGUUUCUCUCCUCUUAACACAAAUGCUUAACAUUUUCCCAGCCUCUGCCAUGCACCAGAUGUGGUACCUCUAUCAGCUCAUAUGCUCAGGGCAGUCUUGGGGGUGAGGAAGCAAGGCUGUACGGUGUCCAAGGUCACACAGAGUAAGUGACAGAGCCAGGUUUAGGCAGCCAGAAAAAAGCCCUCCAUCUCUACCCCUGGCCUGUGAUGGUGCCGGCUGCAAAUCUGAGGGCUGAUGAAUCUUCUCUAUAGCAGCAAGUGCUCUAUGUAAGGGGAAGGAAGUAAAUUAGCAGCAGGUAAGCUACUUCAAGGUAAGACUUGCACUGCAAGAGCUGCCUUGUAGAGGAGCAAACAUUGCUAAGGGGAUACAGGUUCAUGGCAUCUGUGUGAAGCACACAGUAAAAGCACAGCUCAUGGUCCCCUAAACACCUGUAAGAGGAAAGCAUUCAAAAUGAGCAGGUUUCCACUGCUACAAGCAGAACCCACAAUGCCUACAGAGGUCGAAGCAAUAUUUCAUGUAAGAGAAAUAUUGGGAAGAAACAUACAAGUCCCAUACCAUGGAAAUCUGUUCCUUGAUGGAAUAAGAUGCAGGAUUAAAAGUCAUAUUUAUGUUGAAUGCUUAUAAAGCACUCCCACCUUAUUGGGUGGAAAACCGGGGUAUAAAAAUGUAUAAAAACAAGGUCCUACUGUCUAACACAGAAAGCUAUACUGUCCUAUAAUAUUUAUUAACUUAUUUAUUUUUGUCUUUUUGCCUUUUCUAGGGCCACUCCCACGGCAUAUGGAAGUUCCCAGGUUAGGGGUCGAAUCGGAGCUGUAGCUGCAGGCCUACGCCAGAGCGAUAGCAACAUGGGAUCUGAGCCGCGUCUGCGACCUACACCAAAGCUCACGGCAACGCUGGAUCCCUAAACCACUGAGCAAGGCCAGCAGCUGUCGCUCCAAUUGGAACCCUAGUCUGGGAAUCUCUAUAUGGAAGGCAGCCCUAAAGAGAGAGAAAAAAAAUAGUUCUCUUGUGGAGCAAGUUAAGGUCUCUGGAGCAGUCUUUACUGGUCAUCCCUUGGUUAACCCCCUCCUCACUCUUCAUACCCAAUUUGCGUGCACCCUCCUCAGGAAAAGCCUGUCCUGACCACCCUGCCCCAACCUAGCAUCCAGAACGCUGUGCCCUUCCCCAGUGUGCAUGGCAGUACCUGAUAAAUGUCUAUUUCCCUGGAAGCUCCAGGAGAAAACUUUGUCUGUUUUGUUCACUGUGGCACCUCCUGGGCCAAGCACUGUGCCUGGCACAUAGGAAUAAAAACUGCUAAUAUUUAUCAGGUGCUCCUUUAUGCCAGCCAACUUGCUAGGCUCCUGAUAUACAUCAAUUUGUUUCAUCAUCACAAUUGCCUUGUGAGGGAGGUACUAUUAGUAUUCCCCUUUUAUAGAUGAUAAAACCAAAGCCCAGCAAGAUUUAAGUAACUUGCCUAAGGUCACCCAGCUAGUAAGUGGCAGAGCCAGGGUUUGAACCCAGGGUGGCUGAUUACAGAGCCUACAUGCAAUCACGAUAAAUGUUUGUUGACUAAGCGUAUGAGUUACCCCAGCUUCUCCCAGCUGGCUUUGCCAGCUAUGAUUGGUCUAAGGGGAUGCAAUGCUUCCUGCUGCUAACACAAUGCAAGUGGCUGGCAUGCGCAGCAGGAAUUACAACCAGCAAAGCCAGUGGGCAUUAAUUUCUCCUUUCUCUCUCUGAGUCCAGUGGAGCUCUUGCCUGGGAACCAAGGCCUUUUGGGAAAAAUGUGGUCCUGGAACUUAACUUAAGCCUGUUACUGCUGGAAGAGCCCCAUCCGAAAGUGAAAGGCGUGGCUCCUUGUGCCUCCACUUGGGUAACUAAGGAUUUAAUAUCCAAACACUGUGCAACUUCCUCAUCCAUGGACUUUCCUAAAUGAUCGUCUGUGUGCUAAAUGCGGUCAUGCUUCCGUCAGCUCAUGGAUGAGAGUGAUUGCAGCUGCCACGGGCUGGAGUUGACAGCAGGACGGCAGGCCCCCCAUCCCCGUGGCCUUAGCACUGCUUGUAUGGCUUGGCUGGUGCAGCCAAAGGCCAUUUGGUGCCUAUAAGGAGCAUUUGGCUCCUUAGUUGCUUUUGGGUGGGGGGUUGGGGUGGGGAACAGUUCUUAUGCAACUUAAUACCAUGGAGACAAAGAGAGGAAGCAUUAGGUACCCAAAGCCAGCAGAGCUUAGCUUCAGCCUGUAUUUACUGACAUAAGGUGGUCAGUUACUGAGAAAAAUAAGAAAGAAAAAAAGAAAAGAAAAGAAAUGCUUGUGGAAUUCUGGAAAUAUGUGGAUGGGCAAGGAUUGUACCCAACAGGAUAGGGGUAGCUGAAAUCUGAUCGUCAUCUUUGUAAUCUGCUGGGGACUCACUCACUGCAGUCCCUCCCCCACAAGAGGUCCACUUCCUUUAUGACCCUAUGCCCAUUUCCCUGAAAAUGGGAAAAACCAUAGGAAAAUGGGCCAUUUUCCCCAAGUGGCCAUUCUGCCUCCUAAGAAGUGGGGGCUCAGGAAAGGGCCCAGGUGGAUCUCAGCCCAAGUUGGAAAGACCACAAAGCCUGUGGCUUCUCUAGCAGGAGGUCAGCUGCUGGUGCAGCAUUUUUCAAACUGACCCACCACAGGACGCUUUAUUCAAGUGAAAGCAAAGUUCUCAUAAAAUAGAGAACAGAGACAUUCUGAUGAAAAAAACCCAGCUCUGGAGAGAAGGGGGAACCACAUCCAAAUGCCUGGCCUCCCCACCCCCUCCCUCCACACCCUCUCUGAUACAAGGAAGGGCUCACUGGCUGCCAUUCACUAAUAUGAAUAUCUGAAGAGGAAACUGGCCACUCUGGAACUGACCAUGGCCAGGACACCAUGUUCUGUCCAACUCUAGCCUCCACUCUGGGCAGCCCCAGGAGCUGGCUUCUGGGAUGGGAGUCUGCAGAGUGAGUCAGGCCCCAGAGGGAACAAGGGCUCUCCAAGGCUCACUGGGUCAGCUUAGGCCGUUCAGUGGCUGGCACAGGAGCUGGUCCCAGACCUGGAAGGCCGGAUAGCAAUCUAAUCUAGAAAGGUGCUCCAGGGAGUUCCCUGGUGGUCUAGUGGUUAGGAUUUGAUGCUUUCACCACCACAGCCCAGGUUCAAUCCCUGGUCUGGGAACUGAGAUCCCAGACUAAGCCACUGUACACCGAGACUCCCCCCACCCCCCAAAAAAAGAUGAGAGAAAGGUCCUCCAGGCUCGGUGGUUUUCCUUAGGAGUGUAGCAGCUGAAGAAAUCAAUGCGUUUAAGCCACCCCAAGCACUGGGCCUGGAUUUGGCCCUAAAGGUACAGAGAUGCACUCUGGGCCUCAGAUCUCAAAGGACUCUGAUUAGGUAGGGAGAGCCAGAGCUGCAUGAUGGAGUAUUGGUUGCAAACAACACAAACCAGUUUAGUAUUCCUGGGGUACUUCAUGGAAUUUAAAGUCAGAAAUGCAGCUGAACCUCAGGAAUGGACUUAGGGAACAGAAGGGACCCAGAGCCCCUUCUCCAUCACUGCCCACCUGCCCU